AUGUUCUCUGUAGCUCUGCUGCUGCUGCUGGCUGCUGGAUCCUGUGUAAACUGUGAGCAGCAGACACAGUCACCCUCUGUGAUUGUGCAGCCAGCUUGGAUCAGACAGCCUGCAGGGAAAGUACUGGAGUGGAUUGGGGUGAAAGAUACUGGGAGCUCUUACUAUAAAGAUUCACUAAAGAGCAAGUUCAGCAUUGACUUGGACACUUCAAGCAAGACAGUGACUCUAAAUGGACAGAACAUGCAGCCAGAAGACACUGCUGUGUAUUACUGUGCCAGAGUCUCACAGUAA